UACGUAGGGGGCUAGCGUUGUCCGGAUUUAUUGGGCGUAAAGAGCGUGUAGGCGGCCAGAUAGGUCUGCUGUGAAAACUCGAGGCUCAACCUCGAGCUGUCGGCGGAAACCAUUUGGCUAGAGUCCGGAAGAGGAAAGUGGAAUUCCUGGUGUAGCGGUGAAAUGCGCAGAUAUCAGGAAGAACACCCGUGGCGAAAGGCGGCUUUCUGGGACGGUACUGACGCUGAGACGCGAAAGCGUGGGGAGCGAACGG
rnacentral:rRNA from 1 species